UGGACUUUAUGACUCUAUGAAAUUACUCAAGAGAAAAGCUUCAUAAUGCAUGAGAAAUAAAAAUUGGUUGUGCUCGUAGAAGUAUUCUUUUUCAACCCACUGCAUAUCAGCAAAUCUGCCUUGGGGCGACAUGAACAUAUGGGAACUGGCAAAAAAAUGCCUGGACUGGUGCAGCAGGAAGUCAGCCACUGCAGGGAAAGGAUGGACAUAACACUGAAGCUAUCAAGCAUAUUAAAAGUUUCUUGCAAUAAACAAGAUAAAAAUGUCCAACACAAUUACAUCCAAAGAAA
rnacentral:lncRNA from 1 species